rnacentral:rRNA from 1 species
UUUUAUGGAGAGUUUGAUCCUGGCUCAGGAUGAACGCUGGCGGCGUGCCUAAUACAUGCAAGUCGAGCGAACGGACGAGAAGCUUGCUUCUCUGAUGUUAGCGGCGGACGGGUGAGUAACACGUGGAUAACCUACCUAUAAGACUGGGAUAACUUCGGGAAACCGGAGCUAAUACCGGAUAAUAUUUUGAACCGCAUGGUUCAAAAGUAAAAGACGGUCUUGCUGUCACUUAUAGAUGGAUCCGCGCUGCAUUAGCUAGUUGGUAAGGUAACGGCUUACCAAGGCAACGAUGCAUAGCCGACCUGAGAGGGUGAUCGGCCACACUGGAACUGAGACACGGUCCAGACUCCUACGGGAGGCAGCAGUAGGGAAUCUUCCGCAAUGGGCGAAAGCCUGACGGAGCAACGCCGCGUGAGUGAUGAAGGUCUUCGGAUCGUAAAACUCUGUUAUUAGGGAAGAACAUAUGUGUAAGUAACUGUGCACAUCUUGACGGUACCUAAUCAGAAAGCCACGGCUAACUACGUGCCAGCAGCCGCGGUAAUACGUAGGUGGCAAGCGUUAUCCGGAAUUAUUGGGCGUAAAGCGCGCGUAGGCGGUUUUUUAAGUCUGAUGUGAAAGCCCACGGCUCAACCGUGGAGGGUCAUUGGAAACUGGAAAACUUGAGUGCAGAAGAGGAAAGUGGAAUUCCAUGUGUAGCGGUGAAAUGCGCAGAGAUAUGGAGGAACACCAGUGGCGAAGGCGACUUUCUGGUCUGUAACUGACGCUGAUGUGCGAAAGCGUGGGGAUCAAACAGGAUUAGAUACCCUGGUAGUCCACGCCGUAAACGAUGAGUGCUAAGUGUUAGGGGGUUUCCGCCCCUUAGUGCUGCAGCUAACGCAUUAAGCACUCCGCCUGGGGAGUACGACCGCAAGGUUGAAACUCAAAGGAAUUGACGGGGACCCGCACAAGCGGUGGAGCAUGUGGUUUAAUUCGAAGCAACGCGAAGAACCUUACCAAAUCUUGACAUCCUUUGACAACUCUAGAGAUAGAGCUUUCCCCUUCGGGGGACAAAGUGACAGGUGGUGCAUGGUUGUCGUCAGCUCGUGUCGUGAGAUGUUGGGUUAAGUCCCGAAACGAGCGCAACCCUUAAGCUUAGUUGCCAUCAUUAAGUUGGGCACUCUAAGUUGACUGCCGGUGACAAACCGGAGGAAGGUGGGGAUGACGUCAAAUCAUCAUGCCCCUUAUGAUUUGGGCUACACACGUGCUACAAUGGACAAUACAAAGGGCAGCGAAACCG